rnacentral:rRNA from 1 species
GGGAAUUUUUUUGCAAUGGGCGAAAGCCUGACGGAGCAAUACCGCGUGAGGGAGGAAGGCUCUUGGGUCGUAAACCUCUUUUCUCAGGGAAGAACACAAUGACGGUACCUGAGGAAUAAGCAUCGGCUAACUCCGUGCCAGCAGCCGCGGUAAUACGGAGGAUGCAAGCGUUAUCCGGAAUGAUUGGGCGUAAAGCGUCCGCAGGUGGCGAUGUAAGUCUGCUGUUAAAGAGUCUAGCUCAACUAGAUAAGAGCAGUGGAAACUACAUAGCUAGAGUACGUUCGGGGCAGAGGGAAUUCCUGGUGUAGCGGUGAAAUGCGUAGAGAUCAGGAAAGGAACCACCCAAGUGGCGGAAAGGCGCUUCUGCUAGGCC